rnacentral:tRNA from 1 species
GCCCUGUAGUUAAUAUAUAACAUUAAAUUGCAGAUUUAAAAGAGUGCUACACCAGGGCUU